UGAAGGUGGCAAGAGCCACAUGAUUCUGUCAAGAGACAAUCUUAACUUAUCUAUAUUAUUAUGUUUUAUAUGUUUUUCAGGUUGUCAAUAUCAAUGGGGAAUCCCAAGAGACUAGUACCUCCUCAUACCAUAGCAAUGUUAUCAGGCACAUACCCCUAGAUUCAAUUGACCCAUCCUUGGCUAUUGGAUUUUACUGCCGAGACAAAGAUGAUUUCGACGACUUCUGUUCCCGAGCUUCCAAGCUUGCUGAAGAAUCAAAUGGCGCCCCAUUAUUUACGGUAGCUCAGUCUUGGAGGUUCUUAUCGCAAACCGCUAGUAACAAUGGGCCGGGUGGCAACCUUGGAUUCCAAGACGAUGAUUCCGUAGAUAUGGAUGUUGCGAACGAAGCAGGCAACAAUGAGGAUGAUUGGCAACUCCUGUAAUUCCAGAGUUGCGCAAGGUUGAUUUGAAGUCAUGGGUGGAAAAAUUUGUUGUUUGAUUCUCGUGUGCCUAAGCCUAAUUUGUCCGUGUUGUUGAUGCCUAGUUUUUGGGGCUCUCCAUAAUAGGCUAUGUAGAAAAGUAAAUUAUACUGAAUAUGAUUCUUUGGCUUAAUUUAUUUGCUCAUUUGUUGAUAUAGCUAACUAAGUAUUUGUUGUACAUUACACGGCUAGUUUCAUUCAUAGUUGUUGCUUGUACCCUUCUGUUGGUUACAAAGUACAAACUCGUAGUGGGAUAAUACUUUUGAACUGUCAAAUAAAUGGUAGAAAAUGAUUCAGAAA